UAGUGGCGGACGGGUGAGUAACGCGUGAGAAUCUGCCCUCAGGAGGGGGAUAACGGCUGGAAACGGCCGCUAAUACCCCAUAUGCCGAGAGGUGAAAUGAAUUUCGCCUGAGGAUGAGCUCGCGUCUGAUUAGCUAGUUGGUGUGGUAAAGGCUCACCAAGGCUUCGAUCAGUAGCUGGUCUGAGAGGAUGAUCAGCCACACUGGGACUGAGACACGGCCCAGACUCCUACGGGAGGCAGCAGUGGGGAAUUUUCCGCAAUGGGCGCAAGCCUGACGGAGCAACGCCGCGUGAGGGAUGAAGGCCUCUGGGCUGUAAACCUCUUUUAUCAAGGAAGAAGGUCAGACGGUACUUGAUGAAUAAGCCACGGCUAA
rnacentral:rRNA from 1 species